rnacentral:rRNA from 1 species
GAGUUUGAUCGUGGCUCAGGACGAACGCUGGCGGCGCGCCUAACACAUGCAAGUCGAACGGAGCAUUAAAGUGCUUGCACUGGAAUGCUUAGUGGCGGACGGGUGAGUAACACGUGAGCAACCUGCCUUUCAGAGGGGGAUAACGUUUGGAAACGAACGCUAAUACCGCAUAACGUAUCGAUGGGACAUCCUGUUGAUACCAAAGGAGCAAAUCCGCUGAGAGAUGGGCUCGCGGCCGAUUAGGUAGUUGGCGGGUAACGGCCCACCAAGCCGACGAUCGGUAGCCGGACUGAGAGGUUGAACGGCCACAUUGGGACUGAGACACGGCCCAGACUCCUACGGGAGGCAGCAGUGGGGGAUAUUGCACAAUGGGGGAAACCCUGAUGCAGCGACGCCGCGUGAGGGAAGACGGCC